UGUAAAAGUGAAACAUUAUCUCCCUCAUAUUCACCAGAUUUUACUUAUCAAUUAUAUUCUGUAAGCAGUUUUCCCUUCCACUGUGUAAAAGCUUUUUUUUGAAGCAGUAUCAGGUUCUUAGCUGAACAUAAAGUGUUUACUCUACAGAGUAAAACCAUUACUGUGCAAAAAUUCUGGGGUGUUUGCUGGUGUUAAUCAUUCCUUACUGAUAACUGUAGGGUAUUGGUGACAGAUUUUUAUUUGCAUUUGAAGUAUGGUGCUGAGCCAUAGGUGGUUGCUAAGAGUUGUCAGAUGACACUUGCUCACAUGAGAGCCAUUAAGAGGGUGUUGUAGCCAGUGUUAGAACAACCUUGCAGCUAAGGGCGAGUCAGUGCAAAAGCACCUAUGCUCUUUCUUUCAGAGGCCAUAUGGUUUGGUCUUGUGACCAAAUAAAUAAUUGCCAGCUACAUAAUCACAUACCAGGAAACAAAGGUAGUUAAAAUCAAUAUCUGCUGACUGCUUACUGGUCUUGGUGGAAAAACUCCAGCAACAGAAGCAGGAGAUAAUCUUGGAUGGGCUUUGAAAUUUGAAAGUUCUGUGUGGUGGUCUAAUUUGGGAUAAAUACUACAUUACAUUGGAUGCAAUUGUCUUCCUGAAUUAUGGUUGGCAGAACAUGCUACUCUUGUUGUAAAAAAGAAACCCAGUGGAUUGCUACAAAAGACUUGGUUGAAUUUCUUCUCGGAGAGGAAAUGUCCAUGGUUGCUGGAUGCUGAGCCAUAGUGAAGCAACUCACUAAUAGCCAUAUCUCUUAAGCCAGUGUUCAGUAUUUUCAAGAAGCUUUGGGAGAGUACAUCUGAACUAAGAAGAUGUGUGGAGGUACUCCAAAGACUGCACACAGCACAGGAGAGCAAACAGACCAAGCAAGAAACAGUAAUAAUGCCUCUUGCCCACUUGGAAAUAAUAUCUCAAACACAGGAUUAGCUAAAAAGGCUAAAAAAUCUUUUGUGGCAGAACAGAACACCGACCAUAAAAGCAGUGUCAAUACAUUGUUGCAAAACAGCUGGUCCUGUUCGGAGUUUGACUUGAAUGAAAUCCGCCUGAUAGUUUACCAGGAUUGUGAGAGAAGAGGCAGACAGGUCUUGUUUGAUUCCAAAGCAGUGCGCAAAGUUGAUGAGGCAGCAGCUCAGAAAAUAGUAGAGGAUGCUCCAGGAAAGGCUUCUGCCAAGUGCUGCCAAGCAAGCAAUGGGACCAAUAGUAUUUCUUCCCAUAGUCCAUCAGUGGGCUGUACACAGCAUGUCAAGGAACAGCUUCCAAAGUACCAGUACACUAGACCAGCCUCUGAUGUCAACAUGCUUGGAGAAAUGAUGUUUGGCUCAGUGGCAAUGAGUUACAAAGGUUCUACCUUGAAAAUCCACUACAUACGCUCUCCUCCGCAGCUUAUGAUAAGUAAAGUUUUCUCAGCCAGAGUGGGAAGCUUCAGUGAAAGCACAAAUAACUUGCAAGAUAGCUUUGAAUACAUCAACCAAGAUCCCAGUCUGGGAAAAUUAAGCUCUAAUCAAAAUGGUUUGGGGACCUGCCGUAGUGGAAGUAAUCUAGGUGUGUUACAGCUGUGUAGCAGCAAAGUGCUGCAGGGUGUGUCUGAAGGAGUUCCCCUCCGGCUCAUCCGGAGUGCUUCUUUCUUUGCAGCACAUAGCACCCCCGUUGAUAUGCCUAGCAGAGGGCAAAAUGAGGACAGAGACAGCGGCAUUGCUCGGUCAGCAUCUCUGAGUAGUCUCUUGAUUACACCAUUCCCAUCACCAAGCUCCUCAUCCUCCUCUUCCAGUAGCUACCAGCGCCGCUGGCUCCGAAGUCAAACAACAAGUUUAGAAAAUGGAAUUAUUCCAAGGUGGUCCACCGAAGAGACUUUUAGCAUGGCUGAUGAAAGCUGCAGUUCCAAUCCUGCAGUGAUUCGGAGGAAAAAAAUUGCCAUCAGUGUAAUUUUCUCCCUGCCUGAAAGAGAAGACGCACAGAGGCACUUCCAGGACUUCUUUUUCUCUCACUUCCCUCUAUUUGAAUCCCAUAUGAACAAGUUAAAGAGUGCAAUUGAAAAGGCCAUGAUCCUCUGUAGAAAAAUAGCAGAAUCCAGCCUAAGAGUACAGGUUUAUAUCAGCCGUGUCAUGGAUGCCCUGGGAGAAUUCAGACUUACAAUCUGGAACCUGUAUUCCGUUCCAAGGAUCGCAGAACCUGUGUGGCUUACCAUGAUGUCCAGCACUUUGGAAAAGAACCAGUUAUGCCAGCGCUUUCUUAAGGAAUUUACACUUCUGAUAGAACAGAUCAACAAAAACCAGUUCUUAGCUGCUUUAUUGACUGCGGUGCUGACCUAUCACCUGGCGUGGGUCCCAACUGUAAUGCCAGUUGACCAUCCUCCCAUAAAGGCCUUCUCUGAGAAAGGCACAUUACAAUCUGUAAACCUGCUGGCAAAAUCGCAUCCUUAUAACUCUCUCUGGGCACAGCUCGGUGAUCUGUAUGGUGCCAUAGGCUCUCCUGUUAGGCUGACACGGACUGUGAUUGUUGGAAAACAUAAAGAAUUAGUUCAACGUAUUCUCUACGUUCUAACAUACUUCCUACGGUGCUCUGAGCUACAGGAAAAUCAACUGACCUGGAAUGGGAAAGUUGGAGAGGAAGAGCAACUGCUAAAUGGAAGGAAGAUCACAACUACAUUGGAAAAGGGAGAGGUUGAAGAAUCUGAUUAUGUGGUUGUCACUGUUAAGAAUGAACCUGCUCUUGUGCCGCCAAUCCUACCUCAGAAGAAUGGUGGAAAUCAAACCAGUAGCAAGGUGGGGCAUGUCAGUAACCCAGAGAGCUCUCCUGCUCUGCCAAUACCCUCAAAAGAAAAGAAUGAAGAAGUAACAGGAAAGGGUGAUCAGAGCUCCUGGGCAUCCUGUAUUGCAUCAAAAGACUGCACAGUUGGCAGUUCUGAGUCUAAAGGAAUGGUAGAUGACAGUAGGAAAGGGAAGGUAGCUGAUAUAGGAACUGUGUCCUAUCAUUUUGAAGAACAAAUAGAAUCAGAGGAUUUAACGGAUGACUUAAAGAAUAGCAACCAGACCACGAGUGAAGUGGCAGAAAAGCCAUCUGGCAGAUCAUCUGUUCUACCGUGUCCUGAGAGGUUUGUUGAUAGGAGUCCUCAUUUAGAAAGGGUCACCUUCCAGAUUGGAAGUUCUACAUCGCCAGAGUCUGAUUUAGAAACUCGCAAGAGGGACAUGGAUGAAAAUUUUAGGGCGUUCAAAAAAAAUCUACAGGUAGCAAGCUGUACUUCAAGUCCACCAAAUGUGCCUGCAGAAACUUCCCAGAGCCAACAAAAAACUUCCAAAGCCUCCCUUAACCCAUUACACAUUAGGCGUAAUAUCUGUUAUGCACAAAUUCCGUCAUGUGAAGCGAGUGCAAGUAUAUUUGAUGAAUAUUUUGCUGAGGGUAAUAAAAUUGAAAUGAAUGUAGCAAAUACUUCUACUCGGUGUGGCUUGUCAGAUGAAUCACUUAAGCCAUCUGAUAACAAAAUAGAAACUGUAAAAACUGAAAUCUUAAAGGAAGCUAGAAUCCUGUGCUCCAAGAAUGGGGAGGGCCAUUCACUUGACUCUGUUAAAACAAGUUCUGACGUACAGGACUCUGGCCAAGUAGUCACUGAAGAUGUCCCCUAUGGGGAUGCUGGAAGAAAAAUCUCCUUCCGAAUUGAAGGGGAUAUUCCUAGGAAUGAGAGUUCAGAUAGUGCACUUGGAGACAGCGACGACGAUGGUGCUUCAUGUAUCUCUGAUCUACACCCUCGAGGCCAUGUCAGCAAUAGGCAUGAAGAAUUUACAGAAGUAGAACUUCCUUUACCAAGAUCCAACAUAAUCAGCAGUCCAAGUGUGAAAAACUUUGGAAGGUCACUUCUCGGUGGUUACUGUCCCACAUACAUGCCUGAUCUGGUACUGCAUGGAAUAAGUAAUGAUGAAAAACUCAAGCAGUGGUUACCAGCAGAUCUGCUUCAUGCAGUGCAUCAUCCAGUACUAGAUGAGCCCAUAGCAGAAGCUGUCUGUAUUAUUGCCGAUACGGAUAAAUGGAAUGUACAGGUGGCUACAAGCCAGAGAAGGAUGAUGGACAGUAUGAAGCUAGGCAAAGAUGUCUUAGUCUCCAGUCAAGUGUCCAAUUUGCUGCAGUCCAUUUUACAGCUUUACAAACUCCACCUCCCAGCUGACUUUUGCAUAAUGCAUCUUGAGGAUAGGCUACAGGAGAUGUACCUCAAAAGCAAAAUGCUUUCGGAAUACCUGCGAGGACAUACAAGAGUUCAUGUAAAAGAGCUAGGAAUUGUAUUGGGAAGUCAGCAUCAAGAGAUGACUGAGGUUCCAGAGGUUUAUGACUUGAGGUGAAAAAAACACCUACAGAAGCUGAUAACCAGCCAAUGAGCAAAGGUCUGAGGUUUGCCGCCCCCACAGUAGAAGCUCUCAGUAGAGGACUGGACCGAGCUGAGGUUAUGCCCCAUUAUGGUAAUCACCACAGCUUGAACCCACAACCUUCAGAGCUACAGUAUAGAGUCUUACACUUCAACUAGAGGAGUUGCUGGUAGAAAAGGAAAAGUAUGCUGUUAACCUCUCUGUGAAUCAGCCCACAUGGGUGAAGACCAACACACGUGUUGCCAGUGCAUUACAUAGUUCUUAGAGGGACAGCAGUGGAACGCUGGGCACCAGGCCUGGUUGUUGUUUUUUUUUUUCAUGACUGUGGAAGCAGAUUGUGGUCUAGUGAUUACAGGCAACACAGCCAAAUGGAACAAUAGCCACGUUUGGGCCUUCUGCCUGGGACAUGUGGAUGUAAAUUAUGAAUCUUUCCCACUUGAGCUAAAGAAGCAGUUCUCUUAGCAUGGAAGUCCCAUCAGGGUCAUAAGCUUCUAUAUGUGCUCUAGCUGUAGAGGUGACACUUUAUAAAUGUGGAUUACAGAGGCACCUAAUCUAGCAUAUUUCUUUUAAAAGCCUUUAGCAAUGUGGAUGAUACUUGGCUCUUGUAUAUUAGAGUUUGAAAUAGUACCUAGAGCUCUAUCUGAAGUGACUGGAUGCAAGUUCUUAAUUAUCUGUGAUACUGAUGAGUGACAGUGACAUCCUGUCAAAAAGGGUUAAUGUGGCUUAGAUGGGGUUAAGUAACCUGGUAGGCCAUACCUGGGGGAGAGUUAGGCUUGAUAGGCAAGCACUGAUUGAGCAUGGAGCCCAGCUGAGAGGAGCAGCAGGGCUGGUAUAAGGCCAGGAAGUGAGGCAGAAGAAGGCUUCAGUGUGGAAGCCUGCAAUUCUUCUCUGGAGGUAUGAAACUCAGAGGCAGAAACCCAGGGUAAGAGUAGAAGCCGUGGGAUCCUGGCCCUGAAGGAAAGGUUUACCCAGAAGAUGGGUGGAUGGAGGCCUGAUGAAGGUGGAAUAGGGAUAUGGCAGCAAGGAUGAUGCAGACCUUUGUCGGAGAGCUGAGCCAUGAAGAAGGAGCACCCCGAGUGACUGAGAGGAAGCAUUGCAACUCCUGGACAGAAAGGGUGUCAGAUUGGGUGGAGCUAUUUCCCAGAGGUAGCCACAAGGAAGUGCCUCAGUGGUGAGUAGAGAUCCUGUUACAACCACACCCCAAAGUAUAAUAUGAAACCUUGGUCUCUGGGUUUGUACUUCAGUGUAUCUUCCAUUAGGCUACAACUAUAGUAUGAUAUGGCUGGUUCUUCUCUCUUUUUACAUCAUUGUAAGACUGCCUUCACUAGUAUUCAAAAUCACGUUAUUCCUAAGAGCUGCCAAUACUGAAAUAAAAUAGUGUAGUUCCUUUGGUUAAAAUGCUGCUUACAUACUAAGUGUGUUACACAGAAUUCUUGACAUUACAGUUAGUAAUAUUUACAACUAAGAAAUAUGUUCCCUAGAAAUAAUCUCGGGGAGGGGAGGGAAGAAAAAACCACCAUGGAUGGUGUAUGAUUCCACACUUAGAUAUAAUCUGCUCUGACACUCUCGGGUUUAUCUGGUGUUGGCUGGCAUUAGUGAUAUUUUUAAAAAAUCCAAACCCGCAUGCAUCCACUGCAUUUGAAAGGCAUAUUCAAUACAUAAUCACCCUAGCAAAAUGAAAAGUUUACUUUGCAAAAUGGAAGGCUUCACUGUCUGUAGUUUGACUGGUUAAUAAGCUCCCUAGGCUAGCAGACUGCAUCCAAGCUGUCCUAGUAUGUGAAAAAUGUUCCCAGUGCCACAGUGACAUCACAAGCACAAAGCUGAUAGCUGCUUAUGGGUUCCAGCUGGGCUUUUGAUUACUCAGAGGCAGUGCAGGCUAAGCAAAUCCUGUUUUUUUACUCUUCGGAAGAAGCCUCCAAAAACUACUUCAGUGCCAAGGUCUCCUGACUGAAAUCUCCCACUAGUCAGGGAAAUAUUGACCUACUCUGAAAUAUUUCAAAUACAGUACCUUUCUAUUGAUUUUCCUAAAUGCUGCUUUGUUUCCUAUAGUCAAGUUGAACAAGAUACCUUGUUGAGUCCUUACAGAUAUGCAGUCCACUACAAAUAUUGCCUGUUUAAAUAGAGUGGGUCUGUUGUGUUAAAAGUGGCUAAUACAUAAACAUCAGAUUUAAUGCUGAAGUGCUAUUUGAAAGGGAAAGGUGAGCCCUUACAGAAGGGGUUAACCACUACAGAUUAUGCUGAGUGGGGUUGAAAUAGGCAUUUCAGAAGUAUUCCACCGAAGGGCAUCAACAAUAAUUGUAAUGAUGAAGACAUCAAGAUGUGGACAUGCAUAAACUAAGUAACUGUGAUCUUAUUGGCUAUAAUCCUUGUCUUUCCUUUCCUUCAGAGUGUUCUUACUUUUACUCAUCUUGACAUGUCUAAAAUUAGAUUGUAAGCUCUUCAAGGCAGGGCACCUGUUUGUGUUCUGUAAAGCAUCCAGCAUACUUUUUGGAGGCUGCAGAUACAGCAAUAAGGGGGGGAUUUUGACAAUUGUUAUCAUAUUUUCUCUGAUUAAUACAAUUGUAUCAAAAGGAAGAAUUCUGUGUGGGGGUCCUUUAAUGUCACAAAUGUCUCUCAUUUGUAUAAGACACAGAUGCAGAAACUUACUCUUGGUGUAAUUCCACUGAAAUCCAUAGUUACACCAGAAUAAAUUUGUCUCAGAGAUUCCAAGCCAAGGAUAGUGCUGAUUGACAUAUGAAUCAUGGGGUUGUAUAUUUAACUGACAAAUCUCAAUAUACAGACCACAAAUUUAAUAUAUAUGAAGAGUUACAAUAUAUAGUUCUUGGAGCAAUUUCAGAAACUUUAGUCUGGCUAGAAACUGGAUUUGAACACAGAGCUGCAUGUUGGGAGUUCUAAAGCAGUGGUUCUCAGCCAGGGGUACAGAGGUUUUCUGUGGGUACAACACAUCUAGAUAACUACCUAGUUUUACAACAGGUUAUAUAAAAAGCACUAAUGAAGUCAGAACAAACUAAAAUGUCACACAGCCAAUGACUUGUUUAUACUGCUCUAUAUACUCUACACUGAAAUGUAAGCAGAGCUAUUCCACAUUAUAUUGUACUCGACUAACCACUGAGGCACAAUGUAGCCACACUGAAGUGCCUCAGUGGUGAGUCGAGUACAAUAUUUAUAUUCUAAUGCAUUUUAUAAUAUGGUAAAAUGAGAAAGUAAGCAAUUUUUCAGUGAUAGUGUGCUGUGAUACUUUUGUAAGCAGGUAGUUUUUAAGUGAGGUGAAACUUGGGGGUACACAGGACAAAUCAGACUCCUGAAAGGGAUACAGUAACCUGGAUAGGUUUAGAGCAGUGGCUCUCAGAGAACCGUAGCACAUCUGUCAGGAGAUGGAGCUUUGCUUUUGCCAUCUAACAUAGCUGUUCAAACAUGUACAUGCUUGCAGAUCCGCUAAAUCCAGAUCUUAAUAGUCUGUCUCUGGUCAAAUUAUUUCUCUUCCAAGACAGAAAUAAGGCUAGGUUUCAUGCUGUUGGUUGAACAGUGGAAAGGCCACUGAACAAGUUAUGCGCCUCCAUGAUGUUCUGUCAUGAGCCAAACCUGGCGCAUUACAUGAGGGAAGUCCUCUGAAGGACAGGUGUCUGACCAUGUCCUCCUGCCAUAGUGUUUUAGGUCUUCUGGGGGAUCUUUUCCAUCUUGGUUUCAUUGCGUCAAAGUUGAAGAUGAUUCUUGAAGGGAAAUUGGAAGGCAUCUGGAGGAGAUGACUGUAACACCUUACAGAGCCUUGAGCAACCGUUUGAGAGAAUAGGACCUGGUCAGUUUAGAAGACAGAGCUCUUCAUUCAACUUGAAUUCAUACCAUUGAAUGAUUUUGACAUAUGGAGAUGCUUCAUCUAAAUGAUAUCCAACUUCUUCUCAAUCUUGACGGAACGGCCAUGAUCACCAAAGCAUUGUAUAUCCUCAGCUUUAAGCCAUUCUUGAAGCCAAAUUUUUCCAUUCCCCAUCAUUACUUUGAGGGGGAUAAUAAUGGCAAAGUAUAUGGGGGGGAAAGGCAUGCACCAUUUCCAAGCUUAAAUAUUACCAUAUGCUUGUAAAUCAGGCAUGCAAAUGAGCUCACUUUCUAUGUGCAUUUACAUGUCUAAAAUUCUAAAAAUCAGGCUCUUGAUGUUGACUUCUUUUUUAUUGUACAUUAUGCACUCCGUAUAUCCACAAAAGGGGAAAAUAGUCUAGUCUCUGCUGUUCGUGUUCUCUCUCUCUCUCUCUCUCUCUUUUUGGCAGAUGAAUUUACAAAAUAGAGUGGCAUGUUCAGAUUGCAAUUUUAAUUUAAUGUUGAUGAAAAGCUGAGUAUCCAACUUUAACUUAACACAUUUUGUCACCCUUUCAACAGCAUUACCUUUGCCAAUACUUAUACAAUCCUUGUCCAUCUGGUUAUCCUUAUCCAAAAAAACAAAAACCUGUUUUCCUACUGAACCAAUCUGGAUGUGUCAUAUGCCAUUUGAAAACUCAUUAUUUGUAUAGAUGUCAGAAGCAGAGCUAUGGGCAUUAAUUUUACUUUAAAAUUUUGCCAUUUACAGCACUAACUCUUUCAAGAUUAGCCUUCAUUGUAGAUAGUACUAGGGAUUAGUACUUUCAACAUUGUAUAGACAAUCCCAGUGUUUAAAACUCUCUCACUCACUCACUCUCUAACACACACACACUCUCACUCACUCACACCCCCCACCCCCAGAUGGAUUAACAAUUCAUAUUUACAAAACAAUCUGCCUAUAAUGGGAACAUCUCAAGUUAGAAUUUUUAGACUUUGGACCAGGCACUGCCAUUUAUUAUGUGUUGUACACUGCCUAUCACAAUGGGGCCCAACCAGAUUGUGGCUUUGAGGUGCUACUGCAAUAUAAAUGUUUAAUUUACAUCCCAACACUAUGUUAAAAGAAAACUAAGGUUGCCAAGUCAAGCAUGCAAAAGUGAGGGGGAUGGAGAUACACCCUUUGCCAGUGGGUUUCACACUAUGCCAAAGGAAUGUUGAGACUUGGGAAUAAGAGGUUCACGUCCAGAUUCUGAAGGGAGUGUGUGUACUCUACUUAUUACAGACCCUUCUGCUCCUACCCCCACCCAGCCUCUUUCUGUCCCCUCCGCUGGUGCUAUGCUCCCUGGCUCCUACCCAUUUUUUUUCUCUCUCCCAAAUCUUGCCCUUGUCCCAUCCCUGCUCCUAUCCUUAUGGCUUCCCCCGCCCCCACCCCUCACAUUGUUCCUAUCCGUCCCUGUCUUAUGUCCACUUCUGUUCAUUCCCAGUCUCUCCACUCACUCCUAACUCCAUGCUUGCCAAGGGCUUAUCCACUUGCUUUUCCUCGAGCUCCUGCCCCUGGCUCCCUGCCUUGUGUCUCUUUCACGUCCUUGUUCUUCCCGUUCUGGAGCCCUCUCUGCAUUCUAGCCAGGAGGUGCAUUGAGCACACAGGAGAGUCUCCCUGCUAUGAAUUGCAGUACCCAGUAGCACCCAACAGAUAGGAGGAGCAAUUGCAGGGAAAGUUCACCUCAGUCCCUGCAGCCCUGGGCUGUAGUAUUGUGAGUUUUUCUGUGCCAAUGGCUCAUGAGCAGUCUGGUUGGCAUGUAGGAGCUGUGAGAGAUGGAGCACGCUCAGGGCGGAUGAAAUCGCCAGAUCAUUUAGUUGCCAAAUUGUAACAAGUUUCUAGUGAGCAUGUACAAAAUGAGAUUUUUUUUUUCCAGAAGGUUUAUAACUUGGUCAAAAUUUUUGAGGCAGAUUUUCACAGGAACAUCAAAAAGCACAUCCUGAAAACCAUCACUACCCCUUGCCAAAUUUCAAGUCCCUACUCCAAAGCAGGGUCCCUACUCCUCGCCCACAGACAACCUGCCAACCUUAAGCAUAUUCUCACCAGCAACCACGCAC